UGUCCACUUAUGGCGGACGAAAGGUGGGUACGUGAAGGGAAAUGACUAAUGAGAUGAUUGAAACUUGAAAGCAACAAAUUCAAUCGGCGGCAUAUUCCAGCUCCGAUGGAAUCCCCAACACGCCGUGUUCGACCCGCUUCGAUCUCUCCCUCGUCUUCUUCCUCUACCCAUCAGUCUUCCCCUCUCUCGAUUUCCUGUCUUGAUCAGUUACUGAGGCUAGUGUGGCCUCGUCGAUCUCCGAGGUGGCAAUGAGAAAGAUGGAUGAAUCUGCUUCGCCGGGGUGGCAAUCGAGCGCUCCCUUCUUCCUCUUCCACGGCUAUCCGCUGGUCUCCGCCGUCCUCGCCUUUGUCAUCGCUCAAUCAGCCAAGAUCUUCACUACCUGGUAUGAUGAAAGGCGCUGGGAUCCUAAGCGGCUUAUUGGUUCUGGUGGUAUGCCUUCAUCCCAUUCAGCGACAGUGGUUGCGCUAGCAGUAGCCACUGGACUUCAUGAUGGCUGGGGCAGUUCUUCUUUUGCUACAUCCACAAUAUUAGCAGCUGUGGUGAUAUGUGAUGCUUCUGGCGUCCGAUUGCAUGCAGGAAAGCAGGCAGAGGUAUGUAGGAACUAGUAGCAUCGUGACUUAAAUUGUUGUUUUCUUUUGAACAUUCAACAAUUUGUUGCUAUCAACACUCAACAGUGAAGUUAGAGCAGCCCAGUUUUAAUUCAUUCCAGGUAUGAAAAACUUAAAAAUAGAAGAAAACAUAACUGAGGAUUAGGCGUAUUGACUCUGGAACUAAAUCUAAUGUGAGCUAACGAUCCUAGAGAAAACCUAAGCGAAUCACACCCUGAAUGUUCUCUGAACAACUUGUUUAAACACCAUUAAUGUUUCUUGGGAGAGUAAGAAGGUUUCUGUCAUGUGCAAAUUUGCCUUUUUAAAAUACUGGAAAUACAUAGAAAAAGAAAGAAUGCCCAUGUUGUGAUUCUCUGCAGUUACUUUUUUACAGUGAGAUAUUGUGCUAAUACAAAAAAGUGUCAUUCUUAUCGAAUUCUCGAUAUCUAACAUUCUUUUCGAAGGCCAAGUAAAUAUGCAGAUUUCAUUACAACAUACUAAGGGCCAAGGUAUUACAUGAUACCUUGAUAAACAGUUACAGGACUUGAUAUUGUGUUAAAUCAGCUUCUAUAUGAACUUCCAGAAGAGCAUCCACUCUAUGACUACAGACCACUGCACGAACUUCUUGGCCAUACUCCUCUUCAGGUUGCAGUCGGUGCGGUACUGGGCUGUGCCGUAGCUGUAGUAGAUCAAUUAGUAGGCACAUUGGCUCGAAGCGCAUGGCAAACAGAAUUAGUAGACACAAGUUGAUAUAAAUUGACAUCGAGCAGUGCUUAAAUCUAAAGAAAUAUUAGUAUUGGAUAGUCAAGUUGUUCAUACAAAGGGUGAAAUUUAAUACACACACUUAGUCUAUAUGUGUGUCGCUGUGAAUGCUACUACUAUCAUUAGAUUUCACUGUACCAUUCUUUCUGUAAUAUAUAUCAGUGUUUGUCGAAAUUUGUGCUUUGCAAUAUCAAGUUUUAGAGAUGUAAACCAACAAGAAGAAAUGUCUGUAUGAUUGAAAAUGUUUGCCGAUACUUUGAUUGAUUGAAAACAUUUCCAUUUCAUACUGUGCAACAUGGCAU